GACGAACGCUGGCGGCGUGCUUAACACAUGCAAGUCGAACGGAAAGGCCCUGCUUGCAGGGUACUCGAGUAGCGAACGGGUGAGUAACACGUGGGUGAUCUGCCCUGCACUUCGGGAUAAGCCUGGGAAACUGGGUCUAAUACCGGAUAGGAGCCAUUUUUAGUGUGAUGGUUGGAAAGUUUUUUCGGUGUAGGAUGAGCUCGCGGCCUAUCAGCUUGUUGGUGGGGUAAUGGCCUACCAAGGCGGCGACGGGUAGCCGGCCUGAGAGGGUGGACGGCCACAUUGGGACUGAGAUACGGCCCAGACUCCUACGGGAGGCAGCAGUGGGGAAUAUUGCACAAUGGGCGCAAGCCUGAUGCAGCGACGCCGCGGGGGGGAUGACGGCCUUCGGGUUGUAAACUCCUUUCGCUAGGGACGAAGCUUUUUGUGACGGUACCUAGAUAAGAAGCACCGGCUAACUACGUG
rnacentral:rRNA from 1 species